rnacentral:rRNA from 1 species
CCUACGGGGGGCAGCAGUGGGGAAUAUUGGACAAUGGGGGAAACCCUGAUCCAGCGACGCCGCGUGAGUGAAGAAGUAUUUCGGUACGUAAAGCUCUAUCAGCAGGAAAGAAAAUGACGGUACCUGACUAAGAAGCCCCGGCUAACUACGUGCCAGCAGCCGCGGUAAUACGUAGGGGGCAAGCGUUAUCCGGAGCUACUGGGUGUAAAGGGAGCGUAGACGGCAGCGCAAGUCUGGAGUGAAAUGCCGGGGCCCAACCCCGGAACUGCUCUGGAAACUGUGAAGCUGGAGUGCAGGAGAGGUAAGCUGACUUCCUGGUGUAGCGGUGUACUGCGUAGAUAUCAGGAGGCUCCCCGGCGGCGAAGGCGGCUUACUGGACUGUAACUGCCGUUGAGGCUCGACGGCGUGGGGAGCAACCAGGAUUAGAUACCCGAGUAGUC